rnacentral:rRNA from 1 species
UGGGGAAUAUUGGACAAUGGGGCACCAGCUGCCAGCCAUGCCGCGUGAGUGAUGAAGGCCCUAGGGUUGUAAAGCUCGUUUUGUGCGGGAAGAUAAUGACGGUACCGCAAGAAUAAGCCCCGGCUAACUUCGUGCCAGCAGCCGCGGUAAUACGAAGGGGGCUAGCGUUGCUCGGAAUCACUGGGCGUAAAGGGUGCGUAGGCGGGUUUCUAAGUCAGAGGUGAAAGCCUGGAGCUCAACUCCAGGAAACUGCCUUUGAUACUGGAAGUCUUGAGUAUGGCAGAGGUGAGUGGAACUGCGAGUGUAGAGGUGAAAUUCGUAGAUAUUCGCAAGAACACCAGUGGCGAAGGCGGCUCACUGGGCCAUUACUGACGCUGAGGCACGAAAGCGUGGGGAGCAAACAGGAUUAGAUACCCCUGGUAGUCCACGCCGUAAACGAUGAAUGCCAGCCGUUAGUGGGUUUUACUCACUAGUGGCGCAGCUAACGCUUUAAGCAUU